rnacentral:misc_RNA from 1 species
UCCGGUUUGUUGACGGGUCCCCGCACAAGCGGCGGAGCAUGCGGCUUAAUUCGAUGCAACCCGAAGAACCUUACCUGGGUUUGACAUGCUAGUUAAAGCGGGUGAAAGCCCGUGUCCGUAAGGGGCUAGCACAGGUGCUGCAUGGCUGUCGUCAGCUCGUGCCGUGAGGUGUUGGCUUAAGUGCCGCAACGAGCGCAACCCUUGCUCUUAG